rnacentral:rRNA from 1 species
UACGAAGGGGGCAAGCGUUGCUCGGAAUUACUGGGCGUAAAGGGCGCGUAGGCGGCUCGAUUUGUCAGGCGUGAAAGUCCUGGGCUCAACCGGGGAGGGUCGUUGGUGACUGUCGCGCUUGAAGGCAGCAGGGGUGAGUGGAACUCCCGGUGUAGUGGUGAAAUGCGUAGAGAUCGGGAAGAACACCCGUGGCGAAGGCGGCUCACUGGGCUGACCUUGACGCUGAGGCGCGAAGGCGUGGGGAGCGAACGGG